AUGCUCCGCAUUGGCACAUCCAUCUCGGUUGGCUCUGGGUCAUUGACCCUGUUCUAGUUCGAUCGUUCGCUAGGGGACUCCCCCCUGGCCGCUCGCUUCCCGGAACUAUUCACCAUUGCGGUUGACCCUCGAGUCUCUGUUGAGACGGCCCUUAUUGACUUAGGGCAUCUCGCUUUCCGGCGCUCCUUCGGUCCCCAUGAGGUAGCCGCCUGGGACUCUCUCCUCCAGGACACCGCGCUCCUUCUGAUGGACAUUGAGGAUGCCCCUGACUCCAUCUCUUGGCGUCUAGAGCCAUCUGGCCGCUUCUCCACUAAAUCCUUAUACGCGGCCAUUGCUCCAUCGAUGGCUCCUGAGCCCUUUAGUCUAAUCUGGGACAUUCGCCUCCCUCUGAAGACCAAAAUUUUCCUGUGGCAGUGGAUCAGGGGAUGGCUUCCCUCUAGGGCGGAGGUCCUCAAACGGAAUGGACCAGGAGAUGUGAUUUGUCCCUUGUGUGGCAUGGUCGAGGAUGUUAACCACAUCUUCUUCUCUUGCUCCAGAGCCCAAUUCAUGUGGUCCUGUUUCCGCGAGACGGUUGGUGGACAGUAG
rnacentral:rRNA from 1 species